rnacentral:rRNA from 1 species
AGAUUCCCCCAGUAGCGGCGAGCGAACGGGGAGGAGCCCAGAGCCUGAAUCAGUGUGUGUGUUAGUGGAAGCGUCUGGAAAGGCGCGCGAUACAGGGUGACAGCCCCGUACACAAAAAUGCACAUAUUGUGAGCUCGAUGAGUAGGGCGGGACACGUGGUAUCCUGUCUGAAUAUGGGGGGACCAUCCUCCAAGGCUAAAUACUCCUGACUGACCGAUAGUGAACCAGUACCGUGAGGGAAAGGCGAAAAGAACCCCGGCGAGGGGAGUGAAAAAGAACCUGAAACCGUGUACGUACAAGCAGUGGGAGCCUCUUAAUGGGGUGACUGCGUACCUUUUGUAUAAUGGGUCAGCGACUUAUAUUCUGUAGCAAGGUUAACCGAAUAGGGGAGCCGAAGGGAAACCGAGUCUUAACUGGGCGUUAAGUUGCAGGGUAUAGACCCGAAACCCGGUGAUCUAGCCAUGGGCAGGUUGAAGGUUGGGUAACACUAACUGGAGGACCGAACCGACUAAUGUUGAAAAAUUAGCGGAUGACUUGUGGCUGGGGGUGAAAGGCCAAUCAAACCGGGAGAUAGCUGGUUCUCCCCGAAAGCUAUUUAGGUAGCGCCUCGUGAAUUCAUCUCCGGGGGUAGAGCACUGUUUCGGCAAGGGGGUCAUCCCGACUUACCAACCCGAUGCAAACUGCGAAUACCGGAGAAUGUUAUCACGGGAGACACACGGCGGGUGCUAACGUCCGUCGUGAAGAGGGAAACAACCCAGACCGCCAGCUAAGGUCCCAAAGUCAUGGUUAAGUGGGAAACGAUGUGGGAAGGCCCAGACAGCCAGGAUGUUGGCUUAGAAGCAGCCAUCAUUUAAAGAAAGCGUAAUAGCUCACUGGUCGAGUCGGCCUGCGCGGAAGAUGUAACGGGGCUAAACCAUGCACCGAAGCUGCGGCAGCGACACUAUGUGUUGUUGGGUAGGGGAGCGUUCUGUAAGCCUGUGAAGGUGGCCUGUGAGGGUUGCUGGAGGUAUCAGAAGUGCGAAUGCUGACAUAAGUAACGAUAAAGCGGGUGAAAAGCCCGCUCGCCGGAAGACCAAGGGUUCCUGUCCAACGUUAAUCGGGGCAGGGUGAGUCGACCCCUAAGGCGAGGCCGAAAGGCGUAGUCGAUGGGAAACAGGUUAAUAUUCCUGUACUUGGUGUUACUGCGAAGGGGGGACGGAGAAGGCUAUGUUGGCCGGGCGACGGUUGUCCCGGUUUAAGCGUGUAGGCUGGUUUUCCAGGCAAAUCCGGAAAAUCAAGGCUGAGGCGUGAUGACGAGGCACUACGGUGCUGAAGCGACAAAUGCCCUGCUUCCAGGAAAAGCCUCUAAGCAUCAGGUAACAUCAAAUCGUACCCCAAACCGACACAGGUGGUCAGGUAGAGAAUACCAAGGCGCUUGAGAGAACUCGGGUGAAGGAACUAGGCAAAAUGGUGCCGUAACUUCGGGAGAAGGCACGCUGAUAUGUAGGUGAAGCGACUUGCUCGUGGAGCUGAAAUCAGUCGAAGAUACCAGCUGGCUGCAACUGUUUAUUAAAAACACAGCACUGUGCAAACACGAAAGUGGACGUAUACGGUGUGACGCCUGCCCGGUGCCGGAAGGUUAAUUGAUGGGGUUAGCGGUAACGCGAAGCUCUUGAUCGAAGCCCCGGUAAACGGCGGCCGUAACUAUAACGGUCCUAAGGUAGCGAAAUUCCUUGUCGGGUAAGUUCCGACCUGCACGAAUGGCGUAAUGAUGGCCAGGCUGUCUCCACCCGAGACUCAGUGAAAUUGAACUCGCUGUGAAGAUGCAGUGUACCCGCGGCAAGACGGAAAGACCCCGUGAACCUUUACUAUAGCUUGACACUGAACAUUGAGCCUUGAUGUGUAGGAUAGGUGGGAGGCUUUGAAGUGUGGACGCCAGUCUGCAUGGAGCCGACCUUGAAAUACCACCCUUUAAUGUUUGAUGUUCUAACGUGGGCCCCUUACCGGGGUUGCGGACAGUGUCUGGUGGGUAGUUUGACUGGGGCGGUCUCCUCCUAAAGAGUAACGGAGGAGCACGAAGGUUGGCUAAUCCUGGUCGGACAUCAGGAGGUUAGUGCAAUGGCAUAAGCCAGCUUGACUGCGAGCGUGACGGCGCGAGCAGGUGCGAAAGCAGGUCAUAGUGAUCCGGUGGUUCUGAAUGGAAGGGCCAUCGCUCAACGGAUAAAAGGUACUCCGGGGAUAACAGGCUGAUACCGCCCAAGAGUUCAUAUCGACGGCGGUGUUUGGCACCUCGAUGUCGGCUCAUCACAUCCUGGGGCUGAAGUAGGUCCCAAGGGUAUGGCUGUUCGCCAUUUAAAGUGGUACGCGAGCUGGGUUUAGAACGUCGUGAGACAGUUCGGUCCCUAUCUGCCGUGGGCGCUGGAGAACUGAGGGGGGCUGCUCCUAGUACGAGAGGACCGGAGUGGACGCAUCACUGGUGUUCGGGUUGUCAUGCCAAUGGCACUGCCCGGUAGCUAAAUGCGGAAGAGAUAAGUGCUGAAAGCAUCUAAGCACGAAACUUGCCCCGAGAUGAGUUCUCCCUGACUCCUUGAGAGUCCUGAAGGAACGUUGAAGACGACGACGUUGAUAGGCCGGGUGUGUAAGCGCAGCGAUGCGUUGAGCUAACCGGUACUAAUGAACCGUGAGGCUUAACCUUACAACGCCGAAG